rnacentral:rRNA from 1 species
UACGACUACAUAUCAGGCAUAUCAAUAAGCGGAGGAAAAGAAACUAACAAGGAUUCCCCUAGUAACGGCGAGUGAAGCGGGAAGAGCUCAAAUUUGAAAUCUUCAAGGUUUGACCUUGACGAAUUGUAGUUUAAAGAAGUAUUUUCGGUUAGAGGAGUAGUAAAAGUUCUUUGGAAUAGGACAUCAUAGAGGGUGAGAAUCCCGUAUUUGACUAUCCUUUCUAGCUUUGUGAUACACUUUCAAAGAGUCGGAUUGUUUGGGAAUGCAGUCCAAAAUGGAUGGUAAAUUUCAUCUAAAGCUAAAUAUUGGCGAGAGACCGAUAGCGAACAAGUACCGUGAGGGAAAGAUGAAAAGAACUUUGAAAAGAGAGUUAAACAGUACGUGAAAUUGUCAAAAGGGAAGCGUUUGACACCAGUGUUGUUUUUCCGAAAAUCAAUUAAAAAUUGAUUCAUGCCAGGUUGUAUUGACCUUAUCAGCUUGCAAUUUGGUUUUGGGUCUCUUUUUGAUGCACUUUUCGGUUAACAAGUCAACAUCAAUUUCCUUUGCUGUAAAAAGGUAAGAGGAAGGUGGCUUCAAUUUCGGUUGAAGUGUUUAUAGCCUUUUAUCUCUGCAGUCGGAGAGACUGAGGUCUGCAGCGUAGAUCCUUCGGGGUUAGAUACAUUUAUGCUAAGUUAUAGCCUUUCAUAGACAACUUGUUGACUAUGAUUCAGUCAUGUAGCUUACUCGCUUAUGCUAUUUUACCUACGCUUAGGAUGUUGAGCGCAUGUCUCUCUCU